rnacentral:lncRNA from 1 species
AUGCACCAUACAAAAGGCAACAAAAAGGGAGCAAAGAAGAAAAUGGUUGAUUCAUUUUUUAAGAAAGAUUGGUUUGAUGUAAAAAAGCACCGACUAUGUUCAAUACAAGAAAUACUGGAAAGACACUAGUUACCAGGACUCAAGGAACCAAAUUGCAUCUGAUAGCUUCAAGAGUCAUGUGUUUGAAGUGUAUCUUGCUGAUUUGCAGAAUGAUGAAGUUGCAGUUAGAAAACUCAACCUGA